UACGUAGGGGGCAAGCGUUGUCCGGAUUCAUUGGGCGUAAAGAGCGUGUAGGCGUCCAGGUAGGUCGGUUGUGAAAACUGGAGGCUCAACCUUCAGAGGUCGACCGAAACCAUCUGGCUAGAGUCCGGGAGAGGAGAGUGGAAUUCCUGGUGUAGCGGUGAAAUGCGCAGAUAUCAGGAAGAACACCCGUGGCGAAAGCGGCUCUCUGGAACGGUACUGACGCUGAGACGCGAAAGCGUGGGGAGCGAACAGG
rnacentral:rRNA from 1 species